UGGGGCUAGGGUAAGGUUUAAGGUUUUUGGCGUUAGGGUUGAAAUCACUGUCCAAAACCUUUGUAGGAACUCUUUUCCAACCUUUUGGAGUUAGUUAGACCAAAAAAAAAGAAAAAUGAAAAAAAAAUAUUUGGGGUGUUCAGGCUUCCUAAAAGUAAUACCUGGGUAUUAGGUUAUGGGGCUAUGGUAAGGUUUAAGUUUUUUGGCGUUAGGGUUAAAAUCACUGUCCAAAACCUUUGUAGGAACUCUUUUCCAACCUUUUGGAGUUGGUUACACCAAAAAAAAUGUAAAAUGAAAAAAAAAAAUAUUUGGGGUGUUCGGGCUUCCUGAAAGCAAUACCCAGGUAUUAGAUUUUAAGGCCAGGGUAAGGUUUAAGGUUUUUGGCGUUAGGGUUAAAAUCACUGUCCAAAACCUUUGUAGGACCACUUUUCCAACCUUUUGGAGUUAGUUUGACCAAAAAAAAAAAAAAGAAAAAUGAAAAAAAAAUAUUUGGGGUGUUCAGGCUUCCUGAAAGUAAUACCCAGGUAUUAGGUUAUGGGGCUAUGGUAAGGUUUAAGUUUUUUGGCGUUAGGGUUAAAAUCACUGUCCAAAACCUUUGUAGGAACUCUUUUUCAAUCUUUUGGAGUUAGUUAGACCAAAAAAAAAAAAAAGAAAAAUGAAAAAAAAAUAUUUGGGGUGUUCAGGCUUCCUAAAAGUAAUACCCGGGUAUUAGGUUUUGUGGCUAGGGUAAGGUUUAAGGUUUUUGGCGUUAGGGUUGAAAUCACUGUCCAAAACCUUUGUAGGAACUCUUUUCCAACCUUUUGGAGUUGGUUACACAAAAAAAAAUGUAAAAUGAAAAAAAAAAAUAUUUGGGGUGUUCGGGCUUCCUGAAAGUAAUACCCAGGUAUUAGAUUUUAAGGCCAGGGUAAGGUUUAAGGUUUUUGGCGUUAGGGUUGAAAUCACUGUCCAAAACCUUUGUAGGAACUCUUUUCCAACCUUUUGGAGUUGGUUACACAAAAAAAAAUGUAAAAUGAAAAAAAAAAAUAUUUGGGGUGUUCGGGCUUCCUGAAAGUAAUACCCAGGUAUUAGAUUUUAAGGCCAGGGUAAGGUUUAAGGUUUUUGGCGUUAGGGUUGAAAUCACUGUCCAAAACCUUUGUAGGAACUCUUUUCCAACCUUUUGGAGUUGGUUACACAAAAAAAAAUGUAAAAUGAAAAAAAAAAAUAUUUGGGGUGUUCGGGCUUCCUGAAAGUAAUACCCAGGUAUUAGAUUUUAAGGCCAGGGUAAGGUUUAAGGUUUUUGGUGUUAGGGUUAAAAUCGCUGUCCAAAACCUUUGUAGGAACACUUUUCAAACCUUUUGGAAUUAGAUAAACCAAAAAAAAAUGAAAAAUGAAAAAAUAUAUAUUUGGGGUUUUCGGGCUUCCUGAAUGUAAGGGUAUUAGAUUUUAAGGCUAGGGUAAGGUUUAAGUUUUUUGGCGUUAGGGUUAAAAUCACUGUCCAAAACCUUUGUAGGAACUCUUUUCCAACCUUUUGGAGUUAGUUAGACCAAAAAAAAAAAGAAAAAUGAAAAAAAAAUAUUUGGGGUGUUCAGGCUUCCUAAAAGUAAUACCCGGGUAUUAGGUUAUGGGGCUAGGGUAAGGUUUAAGGUUUUUGGCGUUAGGGUUGAAAUCACUGUCCAAAACCUUUGUAGGAACUCUUUUUCAACCUUUUGGAGUUAGUUAGACCAAAAAAAAAUGAAAAAUGAAAAAAAAAAUAUUUGGGGUUCACGGGCUUCCUGAAUGUAAUACCCGGGUAUUAGAUUUUAAGGCUAGGGUAAGGUUUAAGGUUUUUGGCAUUAGGUUUAAAAUCACUGUCCAAAACCUUUGUAGGAACUCUUUUCCAACCUUUUGGAGUUAGAUAGACCAAAAAGAAACAAAAAAUGAAAAAAAAAAUGUUUGGGGUGUUCGGUCUUCCUGAAGGUAUUAGAUUAUGGGGCUAGGGAAAGGUUUAAUGUUUUUGGUGUUAGGGUUAAUAUCACUGUCCAAAACCUUUGUAGGAACUCUUUUCCAACCUUUUGGAGUUAGUUGGACCAAAAAAAAAAAAAAAAAAAUUAAAAAAAAAAUGUUUGGGGUGUUCAGGCUUCCUGAAGGUUAUACCCGGGUAUUAGUUUAUGGGGCUAGGGUAAGGUUUAAGGUUUUUGGCGUUAGGGUUAAAAUCACUGUCCAAAACCUUUGUAGGAACUCUUUUCCAACCUUUUGGAGUUGGUUACACCAACAAAAA